UCUUCGGAUCUUUGAGAGCGGCGUACGGGUGCGGAACACGUGUGCAACCUGCCUUUAUCAGGGAGAUAGCCUUUCGAAAGGAAGAUUAAUAUCCCAUAAUAUUUUGAAUGGCAUCAUUUAAAAUUGAAAGCUCCGGCGGAUAGAGAUGGGCACGCGCAAGAUUAGAUAGUUGGCGGGGUAACGGCCCACCAAGUCAAUGAUCUUUAGGGGGCCUGAGAGGGUGAUCCCCCACACUGGUACUGAGACACGGACCAGACUCCUACGGGAGGCAGCAGUGAGGAAUAUUGGACAAUGGGUGAGAGCCUGAUCCAGCCAUCCCGCGUGAAGGACGACGGCCCUAUGGGUUGUAAACUUCUUUUGUAUAGGGAUAAACCUACCCUCGUGAGGGUAGCUGAAGGUACUAUACGAAUAAGCACCGGCUAACUCCGUGCCAGCAGCCGCGGUAAUACGGAGGGUGCAAGCGUUAUCCGGAUUUAUUGGGUUUAAAGGGUCCGUAGGCGGACUCGUAAGUCAGUGGUGAAAUCUCAUAGCUUAACUAUGAAACUGCCAUUGAUACUGCGGGUCUUGAGUAAGGUAGAGGUAGCUGGAAUAAGUAGUGUAGCGGUGAAAUGCAUAGAUAUUACUUAGAACACCAAUUGCGAAGGCAGGUUACCAUGUCUUAACUGACGCUGAUGGACGAAAGCGUGGGGAGCGAAC
rnacentral:rRNA from 1 species